rnacentral:rRNA from 1 species
UACAGAGGUGCCAAGCGUUGUUCGGAUUUAUUGGGCGUAAAGGGUGCGUAGGAGGUGAUAUAAGUCGGGUGUGAAAUUCCGGAGCCUAACUCCGGAACUGCAUUCGAAACUAUAUCGCUAGAGGUCUGGAGAGGUGAUUGGGAAUUCUUGGUGUAGCAGUGGAAAAUGCGUAGAUAUCAAGAGGAACACCAGAGGCGGAAAGCAAAUCACUGGACAGAACCUGACUCUGAGGCACGAAAGCUAGGGAGCAAACGGG